rnacentral:rRNA from 1 species
GACGAACGCUGGCGGCGUGCCUAAUACAUGCAAGUCGAACGCUGAAGGAGGAGCUUGCUUCUCUGGAUGAGUUGCGAACGGGUGAGUAACGCGUAGGUAACCUGCCUGGUAGCGGGGGAUAACUAUUGGAAACGAUAGCUAAUACCGCAUAAGAGUAGAUGUUGCAUGACAUUUGCUUAAAAGGUGCAAUUGCAUCACUACCAGAUGGACCUGCGUUGUAUUAGCUAGUUGGUGGGGUAACGGCUCACCAAGGCGACGAUACAUAGCCGACCUGAGAGGGUGAUCGGCCACACUGGGACUGAGACACGGCCCAGACUCCUACGGGAGGCAGCAGUAGGGAAUCUUCGGCAAUGGACGGAAGGCUGACCGAGCAACGCCGCGUGAGUGAAGAAGGUUUUCGGAUCGUAAAGCUCUGUUGUAAGAGAAGAACGAGUGUGAGAGUGGAAAGUUCACACUGUGACGGUAUCUUACCAGAAAGGGACGGCUAACUACGUG